ensembl:lncRNA
UUUUCAGAAGCCCGGGGUCUUUUGGAGUGUAAUUUUUUCAUAGUUAGAUGCCUGACUGACAACUGUAUAAAACAAAACCUACACACAAUAUUCGAAGCACAUAGUGCACACUGUGGGAAUUUACGACUGUGCGUAAAUCCCCCCUAAUAUUGGUAUGAUCCGAGCUCAGACACUAAGCGACUGAGCGAGGGGGCGGGGGGAGCUGCUGCCUCGAGUGCGCUGUUGGAGAAACGCAGCCAGGCAGACAGAGGAGAGCUGAAGUUCUGCAGGUUUUAUGUGAAUCCCGGUGCCUCAGGGGGACAGCAUCCACAGCAACAGCACUCAGCCCACAGCUAACAGCACGGCUCACAUUAAGACACCAGACCUUAUCACUUUAACUGAGGACGAGCCGAGGGAGACCCCUGAAAAGUCGGACAGUCGGAUCCCUGCGUCUCCUGGAGCACCAGGCAGCAUGCACUGCUGGAUGCUGAAGGCCCCAGAUUCCCAGCUCUGCAUGGAGGCUGUGCGAACACAGGUCACUGAUGGUCUUGGUCACUCGGGCCUGUGAAUCCAGUUUCUGAAGAACUCCAUCAUCAUUGUCUGGAGGAAUAUCGCAGCAGGGUUCUCUCUGUCACAGUAAAGGAUCACAGCCAGUCCGCGAGUCUCGUCGUAGAUGAGGUGGUAACGAAACGAC